UACGGAAGGCAGCAGUGGGGAAUAUUGCACAAUGGGCGCAAGCCUGAUGCAGCCAUGCCGCGUGUAUGAAGAAGGCCUUCGGGUUGUAAAGUACUUUCAGUCGUGAGGAAGGUGUUAAGGUUAAUAACCUUAGCAAUUGACGUUAGCGACAGAAGAAGCACCGGCUAACUCCGUGCCAGCAGCCGCGGUAAUACGGAGGGUGCGAGCGUUAAUCGGAAUUACUGGGCGUAAAGGGCACGCAGGCGGUUAAUUAAGUUGGAUGUGAAAUCCCCGGGCUUAACCUGGGAAUGGCAUUCAAGACUGGUUAGCUAGAGUCUUGUAGAGGGGGUAGAAUUCCAUGUGUAGCGGUGAAAUGCGUAGAGAUGUGGAGGAAAUACCGGUGGCGAAAGGCGGGCCCCCUGGGACAAAGGACUGACGCUCAUGUGCGAAAGCGUGGGGAGCAAACAGGGAUUAGAUACC
rnacentral:rRNA from 1 species